rnacentral:sRNA from 1 species
GCACGCGUAGAACGCGAGCGCUCGGCAAAGCUCGGCUCGGAAGAGUCCAAGCGUGAGGGGAGAGGACUGUGGAUUCAGAUACUGUUUUUCUCCCGAAAUAGGAAAUUGGCUUAUUUUUUUUCCCCUCGACAGCAUCUUAAUUUAAAAUAUGACACUUGACCUACGGCCCUGCAGGGAGCGGUUAAGAGGGUCACCAACCAGUUUCUCAAACAAUUAGGUCUGCAUCCUAACUGGCAAUUCGUCGAUGUAUAUGGAAUGGAUCCUGAACUCCUUAGCAUGGUACCAAGACCAGUCUGCGCAGUCUUACUUCUCUUUCCUAUUACAGAAAAGUAUGAAGUAUUCAGAACAGAAGAGGAAGAAAAAAUAAAAUCUCAGGGACAAGAUGUUACAUCAUCAGUAUAUUUCAUGAAGCAAACAAUCAGCAAUGCCUGUGGAACAAUUGGACUGAUUCAUGCUAUUGCAAACAAUAAAGACAAGAUGCACUUUGAAUCUGGGUCAACCUUGAAAAAAUUCCUGGAGGAAUCUGUGUCAAUGAGCCCUGAAGAACGAGCCAGAUACCUGGAGAACUAUGAUGCCAUCCGAGUUACUCAUGAGACCAGUGCCCAUGAAGGUCAGACUGAGGCGCCAAGUAUAGAUGAAAAAGUAGAUCUUCAUUUUAUUGCAUUAGUUCAUGUAGAUGGGCAUCUCUAUGAAUUAG